rnacentral:rRNA from 1 species
ACCCGCUGAACUUAAGCAUAUUAAUAAGCGGAGGAAAAGAAACCAACAGGGAUUCCCUCAGUAGCGGCGAGCGAAGCGGGAACAGCUCAAGCUUUAAAUCGGGGGUCCACAGGGCCUUUCGAAUUGUAGCCUUUCGAGCGCCGGUUGCCGGGUCGAUCGUGUGAGUACGGAGUCCCCUGGAACGGGGCGUCUUAGAGGGUGAGAACCCCAUGACGGACUCAUCGGUCGGUUCGACUGCAUCCGGUGUUCGGCGAGUCGGGUAGUUUGAGAUUGCUGCCUAAAUGGGUGGUAGAUUUCAUCCAAAGCUAAAUACGGGUGGGAGACCGAUAGCGAACAAGUACCGUGAGGGAAAGGUGAAAAGAACUUUGGAAAGAGAGUUAAAAGCGCUUGAAAUCGUCGAAAGGGAAGCGAACGGGAUCGGCUACGGUCGGCGGGAGAUCAUCUCUCCCCGUUUCCGGUGUCCGAGAGCUGGAGGGCGAAAGCUCCUAGUCUCCGGCUCCGAGUUGCGGGGUGGGUGCACUCGGCCCGUCGAUCGGCCCACGUCGGCUCGGUUCACCGUAGGGAGGAAGAGCGAGGGCGGGUGGGGUUUCCCAUCGACGCGCUCUUUCGGAACG